rnacentral:rRNA from 1 species
UGCGGAGGAAAAGAAACUAACAAGGAUUCCCCUAGUAACGGCGAGUGAAGCGGGAAGAGCUCAAGCUUAAAAUCUCCGUGUAAAUUUUACAUGGCGAAUUGUAGUCUAUAGAGGCGUGGUCAGCAUGGGCACUUGGAGUAAGUUCCUUGGAAGAGGACAGCAUGGAGGGUGAUACUCCCGUUCAUCUCCGAGUUGCUCGUGCGUACGGCCCGUUUUCUUUGAGUCGCGUUGUUUGAGAAUGCAGCGCAAAGUAGGUGGUAAAUUCCAUCUAAAGCUAAAUAUUGGUGCGAGACCGAUAGCAUACAAGUACCGUGAGGGAAAGAUGAAAAGAACUUUGAAAAGAGAGUUAAAGAGUACCUGAAACUGCUGAAAGGGAACCAAAUCGUUUCCAGUGUCUAUAAUCUGUGGUAUAUUUCAUUGGCGAGUGUGCGCGUGCGAAUACUAUGGCAGUGGCUUUUUGCUGCGCUUGGUGCUUGUGUUGUGUGUGCUUGCUAGUGCCCUGUACUACGGUGGGACGUCAAGGUCAGUUCGUAUGCUGCGGGAAAUGGCUACUGAGGAGGUAGGGCUUACGCUUGCGUUUGUCUGUUAUAUCUUGGUGGACGAGUUGUCGCGGUUGGGACUGAGGUGCCUAUAACGUGCUUGUGAGUGGGAUUGCGUUUCUGUGUGCGCCGUGUGCGGAUAGCUUGCUAUGCGUGUGUGGCUGUAUAUGGAUUGAUGCGAGCCUUAACUUAUUGCCGUUCGGGACGUUGACGAAA